rnacentral:rRNA from 1 species
UGAACGCUAGCGGCAGGCUUAACACAUGCAAGUCGAGGGGCAGCAUGUCCAGCAAUGGAUGAUGGCGACCGGCGGAAGGGUGCGUAACGCGUGAGCAACAUGCCCUAUACAGGGAGAUACACCAGGGAAACUUGGUCUAAUAUCCCAUAGCAUUCAUUGAAGGCAUCUUUAAUGAAUUAAAGCUUCGGUGGUAUAGGAUUGGCUCGCGUGACAUUAGCCAGAUGGUGAGGUAACGGCUCACCAUAGCAAUGAUGUCUAGGGGUUUUGAGAGGAAGGCCCCCCACACUGGGACUGAGACACGGCCCAGACUCCUACGGGAGGCAGCAGUGAGGAAUAUUGGACAAUGGAUGGAAAUCUGAUCCAGCCAUGCCGCGUGCAGGAAGACGGCCUUAUGGGUUGUAAACUGCUUUUAUACGGGAGCAAUAAGGGUUACGAGUAAUCCGAUGAGAGUACUGUAUGAAUAAGGAUCGGCUAACUCCGUGCCAGCAGCCGCGGUAAUACGGAGGAUCCGAGCGUUAUCCGGAAUUAUUGGGUUUAAAGGGUGCGUAGGCGGCCAUUUAAGUCAGCGGUGAAAUUUUGCAGCUUAACUGUAACAGUGCCGUUGAUACUGUUUGGCUAGGAUUUGGUUGUAGUGUGCGGAAUGUGUGGUGUAGCGGUGAAAUGCUUAGAUAUCACACAGAACACCGAUUGCGAAGGCAGCACACUAAGUCAUUAUUGACGCUGAGGCACGAAAGUGUGGGGAUCAAACAGGAUUAGAUACCCUGGUAGUCCACACUGUAAACGAUGAUAACUCGCUGUCGGCGAUACACAGUCGGUGGCCAAGCGAAAGC